rnacentral:lncRNA from 1 species
UAGCAAUUCCUGAAGUGGAGAUAUGGAAAUCAAAUUUUCUCUUCCUUCCACUUAAUUGUGCACAAAACUCAAAGUAUAUUAUUACAACCUUUUCUUAUUUUCCCAAUACUACACCCUAGCCACUUUCACGCUACCUUCUCCAUUCUCUCUCUCAAACUUGUUCUCAGACACCUUCAUCUCUCCAUCUCCUAUCUACCAAAAACCUCC